GACGAACGCUGGCGGCGCGCCUAACACAUGCAAGUCGAACGGAGAAGUUAGCAAUAACUUUUUAGUGGCGAACGGGUGAGUAACGCGUAGACAACCAACCUUACAGCGGGGGACAACACUUCGAAAGGAGUGCUAAUACCGCAUACGCUCCUGUGUUCGCAUGGAUGGAGGAGGAAAGGAGCCGCAAGGCUUCACUGUAAGACGGGUCUGCGUCUGAUUAGCUAGUUGGUGAGGUAACGGCUCACCAAGGCGACGAUCCGUAGCUGGUCUGAGAGGACGACCAGCCACACUGGGACUGAGACACGGCCCAGACUCCUACGGGAGGCAGCAGUGGGGAAUAUUGGACAAUGGGGGCAACCCUGAUCCAGCGACGCUGCGUGUGUGAAGAAGGCCUGCGGGUUGUAAAGCGCUUUUAGUGGGGAUGAAAAGCCGAGGGCUAAUACUCUUCGGUCUUGACCUAACCCAAAGAAAAAGCACCGGCUAACUCUGUGCCAGCCGCCGCCGUAA
rnacentral:rRNA from 1 species